rnacentral:rRNA from 1 species
AGAACGAACGCUGGCGGCAUGCCUAACACAUGCAAGUCGAACGCUCUUGAGGCUUCGGUUUCAAGGGAGUGGCGCACGGGUGAGUAGCGCGUGGGAACCUGCCCUGUUGUGGGGGAUAACCGAGGGAAACUUCGGCUAAUACCGCAUGCGCCCGGGGAAACCCGGGAAAGAUUUAUCGCAGCAGGAGGGGCCCGCGUCGGAUUAGGUAGUUGGUAGGGUAACGGCCUACCAAGCCUUUGAUCCGUAGCUGGUCUGAGAGGAUGAUCAGCCACACUGGGACUGAGACACGGCCCAGACUCCUACGGGAGGCAGCAGUGGGGAAUAUUGGACAAUGGGCGCAAGCCUGAUCCAGCAAUGCCGCGUGAGUGAUGAAGGCCUUAGGGUUGUAAAGCUCUUUCGCCCGCGACGAUGAUGACGGUAGCGGGAGAAGAGCCCCGGCUAACUUCGUGCCAGCAGCCGC